rnacentral:rRNA from 1 species
UACAGAGACUGCAAGCGUUAUUCGGAUUCACUGGGCGUAAAGGGUGCGCAGGCGGUUGGGUGUGUCAGAUGUGAAAUCCCGAGGCUUAACCUCGGAACUGCGUCUGAAACUACUCGACUAGAGUACUGGAGAGGGAAACGGAAUUCACGGUGUAGCAGUGAAAUGCGUAGAUAUCGUGAGGAACACCAGUGGCGAAGGCGAGUCCCUGGACACUUCCUGACACUGAGGCACGAAAGCUAGGGGAGCAAACAGG